GGCAAAGUGGUAGCUCAGUGGCUAAAACAUGUGACUUUUGAUCGGAAGGUUGAGAGUUCAAAUCCCUGCACUGCCA